AUAACUUUGUGAGUUAUUCACUCUCGUUUUUCUUUGAGAUUCAACUUGACUUAUCUAGCUAAGCUAGUGGUGUCAAACUUGUUUCUUUUUCUAAACUUAUCACUCUUCCGAGUGUGGCGUUCAUCUUGAUAUCGUUUGGUUCCUAUCUCAUUAGAUAGUGGGUCAUGGUCCGUUUUCAUCAAACCAUUUCCACCUUAAAACUUAUAAGAUUUGGGUCCUUAAUCGCUAUUAAGGGUUCUUUCUUGUUUAAAGUUUGUUUAUCCAUCUUUCCAUGAAACUAUAUUUAUUUUUAUACUCUGCUUAUUAAACUAUCUUCUUUAAAUUUAGCCUUUUGUUACAGCAAAACAAAAACUACUUAAUUUAUGAUCGGGCAAACAAACGACUCAAUUAGAUCCCGUAAGUGAGUUCGUAUCAAUACAUAUCUCUUUAGCUCUUUCUUCCACUAUGAGAACUGUCCAUUACUUCUUCAUUUUAUCUCAAUCAUUGAUGGCUCUUUAUUCUACACAUGUGAAUCAUUUCAAACCCCUACCAUUUUUUUUUCAUUGUAAUAUUCCCUUGUUAAAAUCUUGUAUCAACAUUAUUAAAUGUGCUUAUUAUAUUUAAAAUAGGGUUAUUAUUAUAUACCCUCCUAAUGAAAAGUUUUCUUUUUUCUAAAAGUUCAUUUUUUCUAAAAUUCAAAAAUAUUUUAAAAGAUACAUAUCAUUAUCUCAAAUAUGUUUACGAAAUUAAUCACUUGUAAUAUAGCAAAUAAUAAUCCAUUUAAAUAUGUUAUAUAUUAUAAUCAUAGGUGACCUCGUUAACAACUCACAAACUCAAGCUGAGGGCUUUGGAAAGUGAGGAGGUGGAGGGCUACAUCCCUGGUUUAGGUUGCAACAUAAUCAGCAAUUAACCAGGUUUCUCCACCCCACCAUACACAUGUUGCUGUACACGAAUUCUUCAUUGUCGAUUGCAGUGUUCCCCUAUAUCCCAUGCAAGUGAGAGCUGAUUCAAUUCAUGACAGUACCCAUUUUUGAGGAUUUCCACUGCCAUCCCACCAUCACCCUUCUACGUCUUUGUAAUUACCAACCUCAUCCAAAUUAGUCAUCUAUCUACUUUAAAUCAGGUUAAAGAUAUGUGACCUAAAUUCUUGUUAAAUUAAAAUACAAGUGACAAGAUAGGGAUCUAUGAGGGCGAAGGCCGAGGGCCGGAGUGAAAUUCGUAUAGAAGUAUACUACCUCUAUUUGAUGUUGAUUAGAAUAAAGUGUUUUAACCUUACUGCAUUACUUCUAUUUGACUUUGAUUAGAAUAUGGUUUUACAAACCUAUGAAUAGACGUAGUCGUCUC
rnacentral:lncRNA from 1 species